GAAUUUAGCGCAGUUGCUUGCAACGCGUGACCCCACUCUAUACACUGUGCACUCAUUGGCGGAUAGAACAGAAGAUCUCGGUCUUCUCGACUUUCUGCGGCUCACUUUAAACACCAGUCAAAGUAUGUAUACGAAAUAUCGAAAAAAGAAAAACUUUCAACAACGGAUCUCUUGGCUCU
rnacentral:misc_RNA from 1 species